rnacentral:rRNA from 1 species
GACGAACGCUGGCGGCGUGCCUAAUACAUGCAAGUCGAACGCUUUUUCUUUCACCGGAGCUUGCUCCACCGAAAGAAAAAGAGUGGCGAACGGGUGAGUAACACGUGGGUAACCUGCCCAUCAGAAGGGGAUAACACUUGGAAACAGGUGCUAAUACCGUAUAACACUAUUUUCCGCAUGGAAGAAAGUUGAAAGGCGCUUUUGCGUCACUGAUGGAUGGACCCGGGGUGCAUUAGCUAGUUGGUGAGGUAACGGCUCACCAAGGCAACGAUGCAUAGCCGACCUGAGAGGGUGAUCGGCCACACUGGGACUGAGACACGGCCCAGACUCCUACGGGAGGUAGCAGUAGGGAAUCUUCGGCAAUGGACGAAAGUCUGACCGAGCAACGCCGCGUGAGUGAAGAAGGUUUUCGGAUCGUAAAACUCUGUUGUUAGAGAAGAACAAGGAUGAGAGUAAAACGUUCAUCCCUUGACGGUAUCUAACCAGAAAGCCACGGCUGACUACGUGCCAGCCGCCGCAGUAA